GACUACCCGGGUAUCUAAGCCUGUUUGCUACCCACACUUUCGCUCCUCAGCGUCAAUACCAGCCCAGAGUGCCGCCUUCGCCGCUGGUGUUCUUCCUGAUAUCUGCGCAUUUCACCGCUACACCAGGAGUUCCACACUCCCCUACUGGAUUCUAGUCACAGCAGUAUCGAGUGGCCUCUCCGAGUUGAGCUCGGAGCUUUCACACCCGACUUACUGAACCGCCUACGAGCUCUUUACGCCCAAUGAUUCCGGACAACGCUUGCCCCCUACGUAUUACCGCGGCUGCUGGCACGUAGUUAGCCGGGGCUUCUUCUGCAGGUACCGUCAUUUUCGUCCCUGCUGAAAGCGGUUUACAACCACGAAGGCCGUCAUCCCGCACGCGGCGUUGCUGCGUCAGGCUUUCGCCCAUUGCGCAAGAUUCCCCACUGCAGCCCCCCGUAGG
rnacentral:rRNA from 1 species